rnacentral:rRNA from 1 species
AACGAACGCUGGCGGCAUGCCUAACACAUGCAAGUCGAACGAGACCUUCGGGUCUAGUGGCGCACGGGUGCGUAACGCGUGGGAACCUGCCCUUAGGUUCGGAAUAACUCCCCGAAAGGGGUGCUAAUACCGGAUAAUGUCUUCGGACCAAAGAUUUAUCGCCUUUGGAUGGGCCCGCGUUGGAUUAGCUAGUUGGUAGGGUAAAAGCCUACCAAGGCGACGAUCCAUAGCUGGUCUGAGAGGAUGAUCAGCCACACUGGGACUGAGACACGGCCCAGACCCCUCCGGGAGGCAGCAGGGGGGAAUAUUGGAAAAUGGGCGAAACCCUGAUCCAGCAAUGCCGGGUGAGUGAUGAAGGCCUUAGGGUGGAAAAGCUCUUUUACCCGGGAUGAAAAUGACAGUACCGGGAGAAUAAGCCCCGGCUAACUCCGU